GAUCAUGGCUCAGGAUGAACGCUGGCGGCAUGCCUAAGACAUGCAAGUCGUACGAAGCGGCCCAAUGAUUUAUUUAGAAACACUGAGAGCUUGCUCAAAGUGUGGAAAAAUAAUGAUUUGGAUUUUCCGCUUAGUGGCAAACGGGUGAGUAACACGUGGGUUACCUACCUCCUAGAUGGGGAUACCAAUUGGAAACGAUUGUUAAUACCGAAUGUGAUCUAUGGAUUAAAGAAGCCUUUAAAGCUUCG
rnacentral:rRNA from 1 species